GGGAAGGUGGCUCAGUGGUAGAGUGCUUGCCUGGCAUGCAUGAGGCACUGGGUUCGAUUCCUCAGCAUGACUA
rfam:Dipodomys ordii contig_20807, whole genome shotgun sequence.